rnacentral:rRNA from 1 species
GGUGCCGUUAUCGGAAUUACUGGGCGUAAGCGCACGCAGGCGGUCUGAUCUAGUCGGAUGUGAAAUCCCCGGAGCUCUACCUGAGGAACUGCAUUCGAAACUGGCCGGCUUGAGUCUUGUAGAGGGGGGUAGAAUUCCAGGUGUAGCGGUGAAAUGCGUAGAGAUCUGGAGGAAUACCGGUGGCGAAGGCGGCCCCCUGGACAAAGACUGACGCUCAGGUGCGAAAGCGUGGGGAGCAAACAGGAUUAGAUACCCUGGUAGUCCACGCCGUAAACGAUGUCUACUUGGAGGUUGUGCCCUUGAGGCGUGGCUUCCGGAGCUAACGCGUUAAGUCGACCGCCCUGGGGAGUACGGCCGCAAGGAUAAAACUCAAAUGAAUUGACGGGGGGCCGCACAAGCGGUGGAGCAUGUGGUUUAAUUCGAUGCAACGCGAAGAACCUUACCUGGUCUUGACAUCCACAGAACUUUCCAGAGAUGGAUUGGUGCCUUCGGGAACUGUGAGACAGGUGCUGCAUGGCUGUCGUCAGCUCGUGUUGUGAAUGUUGGGUUAAGUCCCGCACGAGCGCACCCUUUUCUUUGUUGCCAGCGGUUCGGGCGGGAACUUAAGGAACUGCCGUGAUAACUGGAGGAAGGGGGGAUGACGUCAGUCAUCAUGGCCUUACGACCAGGCUACCACGUGCUACAUGGCCAUACAAGAGAAGCUACUCGCGAGAGGAGCGGACCUCAAAAGUGCGUCGUAGUCGGAUUGGAGUCUGCACUCGACUCCUGAAGCGGAAUGCUAGUAUCGCGAUCAAAUGCACGGGAAUACUUCCCGGCUUGUCAACCGCCGUCCACAUGGGAUGUGUGCACAGAGUAGUAGUUAACUUCGGAGGCCUUACACUUGUGUCAGAUGGUAC